ensembl:lincRNA
AAGAGCCACACUCACAACCUAGCGGCCUGCCCUGUGCUCCUGGCUCUUAACCUGGCUCUGGAAUCAGAUUAAGGCUGUCACCCGCACGUGCGCGUCCAGGCGCUCGCGCAUGCGCACACCGGGAGGCCGGGGCAGGUGUGGUGGAAGACUGGAGACUGCCUGCGGUCUUGGUGGGAAGUCUCCCAGGGCCCCUGUCUUGUCGGCCGAACGGAGAAGCCGGCAGCAGCUCCUGCCCUUUCGGCCAGACGUGCCUACAGAGCUGCUAUUGUUUCUCUCAGGGGAAAGUCAACCUCCAGAUUUGUGCUUUGCUGGGUAUGUAGUACCUUCUCUGUCAGCCCUAGACUUGGCCUGGAGACCAUGGCCGAGGCUUCAUGCCCAGCUCUCCCUAAAGAACAUCCAGCGGGGCUGGGAGAACAGGCUCUGGAUCAACCAGCGUUUACUAACCAGAAGAUAAACCCUGCGGCACCAGCUUUGAGUUUGGCCUCUGAUAACAGGGACCCCUAUUGGCCUUGAAGCUGGUGGACUGAUUUAUUGUGCCAACUGUGGGAAGCCACUGAGCCCCUCUGCUAGCUGAGAAAGGAGGGCUUCCUGGCAUCUGUUUGGAUAUGUUUUUGGUGGCAGGACAGCCUCAUGGACCCAGGCCUCAUUCCUUGGCAAGAUGGCUGGUGGUGGUCUUGCUCCGACCCAUCCGUCAGACCCCGCACCUGGCUGGAGGCCUGGGACUAGGCCAGUGAGGGUGGCGGUGUUAUUACAGGGGUUCUGCUGGUUGAGCCCUUGCUCAUGGAGCCCUGUGGGACCAGAAGUAGCCUUGGACAAAACUGGAGAGCCUGAGGAGUAUUUUUCCUCCUACAGCUUGUUUCAGGGCCACUUCCUUCUGCCACCCCCUUGAAGGUGUGUCCUUCCCAUGAGGUCCCAGAGGUGCCAAUUCUGCUUUUGGAGAAGAGCCCAGGUUUUGCACAGCUCCUGCGCUGCUCUCAUCUCUUCAUCAAAGCAUGCCUGUUAAUAAAGUCCUUCCUUCAGAGCUGAAAAGCUGCUUUCUCAUUUGAACUUCAGAAUGGCUCUGUGAGAUGAGCAGACUUAUCUCUUGCUCCCUCAUUUACAGAGAAAGGACCCAAGAUCCUGAGGAAGUGGGGAGUUGGUGUUUAUUAAAAAAAUUUUUUUAAAUAUUUAUUUAUUUGGCUAUGCCAGGUUGGCAUGUAGAAUCUAGUUCCCUGAUGAGAGAUCAAACCCAGGCCCCCUGCUUUUGGGACUGCAGAGUCUUAGCUACUGGACUGCCAGGCAAGUCCCAGGAGCUGGUGUUUUUUGAGCAAAGGUGUGACUUCUAUGGAGCCCUGGGUUUGAGGUAAAAAGGAUCUGGAUUCAAAUUAAGGUCCUUUUGCCUGACAUUAUGCCUGGGGUUCAUAGGAAAAUUGAAGGUGUUCAGUCCUGGUGGAAAUACUGGCUGUGAUCUGUGGAAAGCCCAGGCAUCGUGUUUUGUUGUUGACUUGCUCGUGUGCCGCUCAUGUGGUGGCAUCUCUUUGGAGCCAGUUUCCAUGAAUGAUGACGCAGUGUGAGGUUGACAUAAUAUGGCCAGGACGUUUCCCAGUGUCCUCACACUGAAAUGACACAGCUCAUUAAUUUUGUUCCGAUGCUGUUUUAAAUAGCCUGAAUCCAAAGGGCACUUUCCGUUCUCAUUUCCUUGGCAAAUCGCUUGGUGCAUUUGCCAGGAUUUCUUUGGUUACUCUCAGGUAUGGAUUAGUGGAGCAUUUUAAUAGUGCGGCAGACAGAGCCAAACUGAGAAUUUCACAUUUUCAACAUACAUGUUUAUUUUUUUUAACUUGGAACUCUCCAUUAAAGCUUCUUAUAAACUCCCGUUUGAUGAGUUUGCUGCUGACACACCCACUGUCACUGGCUGCUCGCCGGUCAGUCCUCUGGUCCCUCGCUUUGGCUAACAGAGUCAAGUCCCAGAUCUCGGCUGCCAGAUGUUACAAACACACUCAAAUGUCUUAACAUAAUGACCCAGGGUACCCAGAAGAUGAUGCUCUUUCCUCCUGCUAUUUCUGCCCUUCCUCACCAACAGCCUGUCUCCCCAGAUAGAAUUCCAGACAGAAAAGCAUCUCUCAUCCCACAGCUGGAAGCAACCUCCUUUCCUCAGAAGUCCCUAGUGCUUGUCUUUGUCUUUCAUAUACCACUUAUCACAUUCUCCUUUGAAGAAUAUUCAUUUAAUCUCAUCCACCUGGCUUAGCAC